rnacentral:misc_RNA from 1 species
AUGAUAAGGCUGGAGUGUCUAGUACCUUACGUAGGAUAGAGCGUACCUCAACUCUCUCAGCAUACAAAAGGAAAAACAAGGGCAUUCUAAUUACGGCAAAAGUGGAACCACCGGCAAAUUGGGAGAAAGUUCUUGACGGGAUUAAGAAAAUGAGACUCUCUGAAGAUGCUCCUGUAGAUACCGUGGGGUGCGAUAAGACUGGAAAUCAUCUACCACCCAAGGAAAGGAGAUUUGCAGUUUUGAUAGGAACCCUUUUGUCAAGUCAAACCAAGGAUGAAGUGACACAUGGUGCCGUGCAACGUCUCUCUGAAAAAGGCUUACUCGCCCCUGAUGUCAUUGUUAGAACUGAGGAAGCAAGCAUUGCAAGCGUGAUCUAUCCGGUUGGAUUUUACUUGAGAAAGG